rnacentral:rRNA from 1 species
GCUUGUCUCAAAGAUUAAGCCAUGCAUGUGUAAGUUUAAACGAUUCUAAACUGUGAAACUGCGAAUGGCUCAUUAUAUCAGUUAUAGUUUAUUUGAUAAUACUUUACUACUUGGAUAACCGUAGUAAUUCUAGAGCUAAUACAUGCGUAAAAUCCUGACUUCUGGAAGGGAUGUAUUUAUUAGAUUAAAACCAAUUCGUUUUCGGACGAUAUUGUGGUGAUUCAUAAUAACUUUCGGAUCGAUUUAUCGAUGCAUCAUUCAAGUUUCUGCCCUAUCAGCUUUGGAUGGUAGGGUAUUGGCCUACCAUGGCUUUAACGGGUAACGGAGAAUUAGGGUUCGAUUCCGGAGAGGGAGCCUGAGAAAUGGCUACCACAUCCAAGGAAGGCAGCAGG